GUUGGCUUUAUUCAUGAUUUUCCCUCCCAGAGGGAGAAUUAUCAUAAGGAAAAAAAUCCCUGUCCCAGAACAUGUCAGUUUGAAGGGGAAACUCACUUUGAAUCAGCCACUUUCAGGGCCUGCAGAUUCCUACCUGCAUUUACAAGGUAGCUGCUCUCGUCGUGCAAAUCGCUCCACUUCCUGUCAAAGACCUGGAGUCCUGCAGAUGAACACAAUGCCCUUUUCUGUGCCGAGUAAUUUGGCAGAACAAAAAUCCCUUCUGCUAUUUUCUUGAGGAGCAUCACAGUGUCCAUUAUGGAUCCUUCACGUAAACAUGGUGCACAAUUGCGCCGGCGUGCCUAACAAUGCGGACGGCUCUCUGCCAUCCGACCCCACGCUGCGCCACUUUGGAUGGAGCCUUUCAAAUAAUGCGAAGCAUGUCAAUCUUCUGUGGAGAAGUCAGAGGAAACCUGGGCAUGUAUUUGUCUUCGGGUCUUUAAAAUAUUAAUAUUUUAAAGUUAGAAAAGAACUACAUAAAAGAAGUCAGACUGAUUUUGAGCGAGAUCGUGUGAUGAAAUAUCCCUUCGCUUUUGCUCCAGUAGACAUGUCCACCUCAGAGAGAGGCUUCAUCACUCAAGGCCAACGAUCGAGGCCUGGGGCGGCGUGCGACUCCUCGCCGUCCAGGAACCGAACCGGCUCGGAGAUCAAUUUCAAAGGGUCUUCUGACGGAGUGCGAGCAGGCAGGCUGUGCUGCCAUCUUACAGGCUGUGCUGCCAACUUACAGACCGUGCUACCAUCUAAUAGGCUGUGCUGCCAUCAGACAGACUGCUGUGCCAUCGUACAGACUGCUGUGCCAUCAUACAGACUCCUGUGCCAUCAUACAGACUCCUGUGCCAUCAUACAGGCUGCUGUGCCAUCAUACAGGCUGCUGUGCCAUCAUACAGACUGCUGUGCCAUCAUACAGGCUGCUGUGCCAUCAUACAGACUGCUGUGCCAUCUUGUAAACUAACAAUAAACACCAGAAAACAGA